rnacentral:rRNA from 1 species
AUGGCCUCCGAGCAGCCACCAAGUGCGCCGGCGGCGGAACCCGCUGCUACGACCUUAACCGGCCUCGGCGGCGACCUCCUCCGCGAGAUAUUCCUCCUCCUCCCGUCCCUGCCGACCCUCGUGCGCGCGGCCUUCGCCUGCCGCACCUUCCUCGACGCCGUCCGCUCGUCCCCCGCCUUCCGCCGCCGCUUCAGCGAGCUGCACGCGCAGCCGCUCCUGGGAAUCUUCUUCGACCCCGACGGCCCCGCCAUCCCGGCCUUCGCGCCCGUCCGCCGCCGGGACGACCCGGACCUGCGGGCCGCCGUCCGGCGCGGGGACUUCUUCCUCACCGGCCUCCCCGACGACGACGACGACGCGCGUCCCGGCUGGGUCAUCAGCGACUGCCACGACGGGUACGUGGUCCUGGAGCACAUCUACACGCGGGAGGCGCUCGCGUACAACCCGCUCACGCUGGCCCUGGAUCUCCUGCCGCCGCUGCCGGAGGAGUUCUACGAGGGCUUCCAGGGCCACUACAACGGCCUCGACUACCACAUCCACGCCGCCCCCGAGGAGUGCCGCGACCACGGGGCGUUCCGCGUGAUCUACGCUUGCCACGACGACUCGCGGGCGCGCGCGGCGGUCUUCUCGUCGGACUCGGACGCCAGGGCGUGGCAGGUCCUCCCCUAUUCCGAAGCUCUGAGGACCAUCCCGGAGUCCGGCGAGCGCGAGCACUGGCUCACCGCUGGCAGGAUCGUGGACGGGUUCGUCUACUGGGUGUACUCGGAUGAGGCCGCCAUGCUCGUGCUCGACACCACCACGCUGCACUUCUCUCGGGUCGAUCUCCCAGACUACCUGAAAGGACAGACGAGCAUGUUCAGGGUUGGCAAGACCAGGGAUGGGGUGCUCUGCGUCGUCGUCGCGAUCGAAUUCAACCUUUAUGUUUGGCUCCGGAACGUUCGCGAUGACGGCGUCGAGGCGUGGGUGAGAGGCCAUCGGUUUCAGUUGGACGACAUUGUUGAGGACACCGGGGGAACACUGGAGGAACACGGCCAGCUCAAGGUUGUGAGCGUUGUCGAUGGAGUUGUCUACUUCUCUACCCAUGAGACCUUCGAAGAUGCCAAUCUUCCCUGCUGGUUCCUGUCCAUAGACCUGGAGGAGAACGCCCUGGACAUGCUCUUUCAGAGGAACUAUGACAGUCAUGUCCAUCCCUACAUUAUGCCUUGGCCCCGUUCUUUGGUUCGCGACAAGGCGUGUCUUCAAGUUGAAGGUGCUUGA